rnacentral:rRNA from 1 species
AGACUUUGAUUAUGGCUCAGGAUGAACGCUAGCUACAGGCUUAACACAUGCAAGUCGAGGGGCAUCAGGAAGAAAGCUUGCUUUCUUUGCUGGCGACCGGCGCACGGGUGAGUAACACGUAUCCAACCUGCCCUUUACUCGGGGAUAGCCUUUCGAAAGAAAGAUUAAUACCCGAUAGCAUAAUGAUUCCGCAUGGUUUCAUUAUUAAAGGAUUCCGGUAAAGGAUGGGGAUGCGUUCCAUUAGGUUGUUGGUGAGGUAACGGCUCACCAAGCCUUCGAUGGAUAGGGGUUCUGAGAGGAAGGUCCCCCACAUUGGAACUGAGACACGGUCCAAACUCCUACGGGAGGCAGCAGUGAGGAAUAUUGGUCAAUGGGCGUUAGCCUGAACCAGCCAAGUAGCGUGAAGGAUGAAGGCUCUAUGGGUCGUAAACUUCUUUUAUAUAAGAAUAAAGUGCAGUAUGUAUACUGUUUUGUAUGUAUUAUAUGAAUAAGGAUCGGCUAACUCCGUGCCAGCAGCCGCGGUAAUACGGAGGAUCCGAGCGUUAUCCGGAUUUAUUGGGUUUAAAGGGAGCGUAGGUGGACUGGUAAGUCAGUUGUGAAAGUUUGCGGCUCAACCGUAAAAUUGCAGUUGAUACUGUCAGUCUUGAGUACAGUAGAGGUGGGCGGAAUUCGUGGUGUAGCGGUGAAAUGCUUAGAUAUCACGAAGAACUCCGAUUGCGAAGGCAGCUCACUGGACUGCAACUGACACUGAUGCUCGAAAGUGUGGGUAUCAAACAGGAUUAGAUACCCUGGUAGUCCACACAGUAAACGAUGAAUACUCGCUGUUUGCGAUAUACAGUAAGCGGCCAAGCGAAAGCAU